rnacentral:rRNA from 1 species
AUUGAACGCUGGCGGCAGGCUUAACACAUGCAAGUCGAGCGAGCGGCGGACGGGUGAGUAAUGUCUGGGAAACUGCCUGAUGGAGGGGGAUAACUACUGGAAACGGUAGCUAAUACCGCAUACUAUAAGAUGUUCCCAGAUGGGAUUAGCUAGUAGGUGGGGUAAUGGCUUAACUAGGCGACGAUCCCUAGCUGGUCUGAGAGGAUGACCAGCAACACGGGAACUGAGCCAAGGGCCAGACUCCUACGGGAGGAAGCAGUGGGGAAUAUGGGAAAAUGGGCGCAAGCCUAAUAGAGCCAUGCGGCGUGUGUGAAGAAGGCCUUCGGGUGGUAAACCACUUUCAGCGAGGAGGCGUUACUCGCAGAAGAAGCACCGGCUAACUCCGUGCCAGCAGCCGCGGUAAUAC